UACAGAGGGGGCAAGCGUUGUUCGGAAUUACUGGGCGUAAAGGGCGCGUAGGUGGCCUUCUAAGUUGAACGUGAAAUCCCUGGGCUCAACCCAGGAACUGCGUCCAAGAACUGGGAGGCUUGAAUCCGGGAGAGGGAUGCGGAAUUCCAGGUGUAGCGGUGAAAUGCGUAGAUAUCUGGAGGAACACCGGUGGCGAAGGCGGCUCACUGGUCCGGUACUGACGCUGAGGCGCGAAAGCGUGGGGAGCGAACGAGG
rnacentral:rRNA from 1 species